AACUGCUCACGGGGCGCGUCGCGCCAUCUCCAUGCUCUCCGGACCUCUGCCGAAGACGAUAGCCUCUACACGUCCCCCACGGACCGUAACGCCAUGGAUGGAUCGUGAAGCUCCGGCCACCGCACGGCCCAUCCGUCAGAAGCAGAGAGCAGGGGAGGCAGCCGUGUCUUUCAGCUGAGACGCCUCCGGCCCGACCCCGCUGCGGCUUCGUCUACCUCACGCCCUCCAGCUCCAGGCCCCGGACCCGGCCACCCAGCACUCCGGCGGUCGCCUCCCCUUGCCGCCCUGCGUGGCACCAACAUUGAAGCGGGUGCCGUGGUUUUCAGAUCCCCAUCUCCAUUGAAUGAACUGUGAACGGAUCACACAUCCCUUUCACGGCCUCGACAGCCGUCGCAUGCGGGCGUUGACUUGGUCAGCGACUGUUCGUCCUGCGAGGGGCAGAUGCAUAGUGAAGGUGACUGUGGAGGAUGUCAUUCGGGUUUCUGGUGCUUACGUUGCAGCAAGGAGAGGUUCAAAUCACCAAAUCGGGGCGGGGUUUAUGGGUGCCCCGCCUCUGCAGGACUCUCGCUGUUGAGAAAGCGUCUUUACCAGGAAAUGGUACUAAAGAAGAAUUAGUACUGGUUGUUUAUACCAAUCGGUACUAAAUUAGCUAUCACGCCUCGUGUGUUCGAGGCAAAUUUAAUACCAGUUGGUACUAAAGAUCUUUUUUCUUUUCUGUUUCUUUUCUUAUUUUCUUUUCUGUUUCUUUAUUCUAUAUUAGUAUUUCGUAUUUGUAUCCUUUAUGUAUACUAGUUAUAAUACGCUAAUAUAUAUAAAGUUGUAUUUGAUCUAUAAUA
rnacentral:lncRNA from 1 species